rnacentral:lncRNA from 1 species
AAUAUUACCACAGACCAACAAGCUCUUCUUGCCCUGAAAGAUCAUAUAACUUAUGAUCGAACCAACCUUUUUGCCCAUAAUUGGACCUCGAAUACCUCUGUUUGUACCUGGAUUGGCAUCGCUUGUGAUGUCAAUAGCCAUAGAGUCACAGCCUUGGAUAUUUCUCAAUUCAAUCUACAAGGCACCAUCCCUCCUCAACUUGGAAACCUCUCUUCACUCACAACGCUUAAUCUUAGUCAUAACAAGCUUUCUGGAAGCGUUCCCUCCUCCAUCUACACCAUGCAUACGCUAAAAUUUCUUGACUUCACUGAUAACCAGCUCUCUGGUUCAGUGUCUUCCUUCGUCUUCAACAUGUCUUCAAUAUUAGACAUUCGUUUGACCAAUAACAGACUUUCUGGUGAGCUUCCGAAAAAUAUUUGCAACUAUCUUCCUCAUUUGAAAGCCCUUUUUUUGGACAAAAACAUGUUUCAUAGCAAAAUUCCUUCUGCUUUAUCAAAGUGCAAACAACUGCAACAAUUAAAUUUGCAGUUCAAUAAUUUAUCCGGUGCAAUACCAAAAGAAAUCGGCAACUUGACUAGGCUCAAAGGGAUAUAUCUCGGCGCCAACAAACUCCACGGUAUGUUCAUAAUACUAUGUAAAUAUUUUAAUUUCUCACUUGUUAUCUUUCUUGACUACUUUAGACAAGAUCUUUUAACUGAGAUUUUUUGCAUCUAUGUUAAUUUACCAGGUGAGAUACCCCACGAAAUCGCUAAUCUUCGAAAUCUAGAGGUUUUAGUGCUUGGAAUGAACAACCUAGUUGGUGUGUUACCAGCUCCAAUCUUCAACAUGUCAACACUGAAGGUGAUUAUCCUCAUGAAUAACUCUCUCUCCGGAAGUCUUCCAUCAAGAAUAGACCUUUCACUUCCAACUGUUGAGUUUCUUGAGUUGUCACAUAAUAGAUUUUCUGGAACCAUUCCUAGUUCCAUCACCAAUGCUUCUAAGCUCACCGUUCUAGCGUUGGGAGAUAACAAAUUUUCGGGCUUCAUUCCAAACACAAUUGGUAAUUUAAGAAACCUUGAGAGGCUCAGCUUGCCUAAUAAUUACUUGAAAUCUUCAACCUCAAAAUUGAGCUUUCUUUCCUCUUUGGCAAAUUGCAAGAAAUUAAGAGACAUAGUCUUAAUAGGCAAUCCACUUGACGGCUUCCUUCCAAGUUCAAUAGGAAAUCUUUCUAAGUCUUUGGAAACACUUGUCAUCGCCAAUUGCAGUAUUAGUGGCAACAUUCCUCAAGCAAUUAGCAAUUUAAGCAACUUGUUGACCUUAGUAUUAGAAGGAAAUAAAUUAACUGGACCAAUUCCAAUUACAUUUGGCCGACUGCAGAAACUCCAAGGCUUAUAUCUUGCAUUCAAUAAGUUGGUAGGUUCAUUCCCAGAUGAGCUUUGCCAUCUAGCAAGGCUGGAUCAAUUGGUCUUAUUUGGCAAUAAGCUUUCAGGAUCUAUACCUUCAUGCCUAAGUAAUCUCACUUCUCUAAGAUCUCUCUACUUAGGGUCCAAUAGGUUUACUUCUGUUAUUCCCUCAACUUUCUAGAGCCUAAAAUACAUCUUGUUCUUUGACUUUUCAUCAAAUUUCUUGGUUGGUACUCUUUCUUUCGACGUAGGUAAUUUGAAGGUGCUUCAAGGAAUAAAUUUAUCAGAAAAUAACUUAUCGGGUGAUAUGCCAGCCACAAUUGGAGGACUGAAAGAUCUUCAAUUUAUGGACCUAGCAUAUAAUAGAUUGGAAGGCCCAAUUCCUGAAUCAUUUGGUGACUUGACAAGUUUGGAGGUUUUGAAUUUAUCAAAAAAUAAAAUCUCUGGGUCUAUUCCAACAUCCAUGGAGAAACUCAUUUACCUUCUAGAGUUAAAUCUCUCUUUCAAUAAACUUGAAGGUGAGAUUCCUAGUGGAGGAAUUUUUACCAACUUCACAGCUGAGUCAUUUAUGGGAAAUGAGUUAUUGUGUGGUUUACCAAAUCUUCAAGUCCAACCAUGCAAACUUAGCAAGCCUAGGACAGAACAUAAAUCAAGGAAAAAGAUACUUCUCAUUGUGAUUGUUUUGCCAUUGAGUAUUGUUUAGGAGAAAUACGUCGACGAGACCAGGCAUGGUGAGCGGAUAUCUGAUGGCAGAGUUCUGCGAACCGGUAUGUCCCGUAAAAGCCUGGUGCGCGGGGGAACAGGAACAGAAAUAUCCUGCUCACCCACGAGCACGUCAUCCACGAGGCCAAUUUCCUGUAAGAGGCAUAAGGCCAUUCCGGCUAGAGGUCGAGAGGCGAGGAGACCCGGUCGACGGCAGUCGGCAAGACGGGCUCCCCAGCCCGAGAAUCUAGGUACGACAGCCACGCUUUUCCCAGAACCGUGGCGUAACACGCAAGAUCUCACAGAACCACGACAGCCACGCUUUCCCCAGAACCGUGGCGUAACACGCAAGAUUCCGCGUUUGCCCAUAACGCAGCAGUCAGAGUCCCAUACUGUCUGGGAAAAAGCAAAAGACUGGGAUUCAGGGGAAGCCUAUAAAAAGGUAGCCAACGAAGGUAAAAGAGUUAGCAUUUUUGAGAUUAAAAAAGAAAUUCAAAAGAAGAGAAAACCACGAAAAAGCCAUAAGAUCUGUGGCGAGCGUUCUCGGAACCUUCAUAUCUGACUUGAGCGUUGGAGGGUUUGCGCCGGGAAAACAACCGGCGUACUCUGACUUGUCUGUGUGCGCAGGAACCUCUGGAGAAGAAGCCUCACGAGAAGACCUUCUGGUCGUGAAGAAGUUGAUCGGGCAGAAAUCCUGGUCGUAGAACGAGGAGAACUGGAAUCCCGCAUCAACAAUUCCAACCCCAGUGGUUCGAGUGACAGUUGAUAACACAAACGUUGGUGACAGAAUCUGGUCGGUCCAAGGGCGAGCAGAUUUCCGCAUCAACAUUUUGGCGCCGUCUGUGGGAAACAGAACAAAAAGCUUCUGUUGAUAGCAAGGAGAGGGGUGAAGCAAGUGAAAAGCGAUGGAGACAGGAGGAAGUAGUGCACAAGGGGGUGAUAGGAGGCUUAACGAUUCCGUGACGCUGAGGGAGAUAGUCAGUGAGGCACGGGAAAAAGUCAUGUUCGACCGGAUGGAACGGAUGGAAAAGCAGAUGGAAACCUUGACAACCAUCCUGCAUGAGCUGCGGAGCGAGCGAGGGGUAACCCAAGAGGGAAGGGUGAGAGGCGGUGGAGUGGCACCAGGUCUUGAUAGUGCGGGGAGAAGUCAAACCACUGGGAGAUUCGGUGGUGAGAGGGGUAACGUACCUCUGCGGGGAGAAUUUCAUAGAGAACAAGAGCAGUCCCCGGCAAGACAGACUAGUGACGAGGACGACGGGGUGGUGAAUGCAGAGGAAACAGAGUUGAGGCAACACGUGCAUGAUGUAGAGCAAGAGCGGGAUCAAGUUGCAUCACGUGACCCUGGUCGUGCAGUGCAGCUGGAGGAGGAAGUGCGCAGACUAGCGCAGAUAAUUGACGACAUGCAAGGAAGGAACAGAGCCCUUGGUUGGAGGAUAAUGCUGGACGGAAAUCGCCGCUCGCAGCAGAGAUCAUGAGGGCAGUUAUUCCGAGAGAUUUCCGCCUCCCAGACCUCAGAUACUCGGGAAGAACUGAUCCGCUGGUGCACAUAGAGCGCUUCAACGACAUAACCGGGGUACAAGGAUUAUCUUGAUCCCAAAGGUGCAGGGUGUUCUCACUCUCCCUUGAGGGACGUGCACGAGAAUGGUACAGGAAACUUCCUCGGGGCAGUAUUAAAACCUUCGAGCAGAUGUGCCAGGAAUUCGCGGAGCAGUUUAGUGGGGCAAUGGCACCGGGGGAUGACAUGAUGGAGCUGAAAAGCAUGAAACAGGGGGAGCAAGAAACCCUUCGGGAAUUCAUCAAGAGGUUUCAUCGGGCUGUCCUCGACUUGGGGGCCUUCAACCACCCUCAGGCGUUAAGGGGAUUGAAGGAAGGGGUGAAGAUAGGAAGGCUGUGGUACAAUCUGAGAAGCCCAGCGAUUCAAACGUAUGCAGCCGCAUACGAACAGGCUAAGAGAGACAUCGAGAUUGAAGAGGAGAAGGCUGCACAGAUUAAGACAGACCAGUUAGAAGGGUUGGGGAGGAAAGAGAAGAAAGCCUUACCGGGGAAUGGGCCGAUCAGGAGGAGGGACCACCAGGCCUCCGGUGGUGGAGCAGGAGGUCGGGUGACUGCUUACCAGCCUCAUCAGAGGCCACCACAGUAUCAGCGCAGCAGGGCACAACCUCCUCGUUCCCCAGCUAGGGAGCCUUGGAAAAGGCAUGAGUCGGCAUCUGGUGGUCUUCCCCACGAUAGCAGAGCGAGUAGACCAGAAGUACUUCCACCGCCCCCAACUCAGAGCGGGGCAAACAAAGAAAGAGCAGUGCACCUGAUCGACCAGAACCCGGACUAUGGAUGGUACACUUCCUUGAAGAUGUCCCUGGAUGAGGUGUACAAGGCCAUAAAGGAUCGAGGGCUGCUGCACCCCCCUACACCAAUAACGAAGCUACCCAACAGGAGGGAUAGAGGACGUUAUUGUAAGUUCCAUGGCACUCAUGGCCACACCACAGCAGAGUGUAGAGAUCUCAAGACCCAGGUCGAAGAUUUGGUGAGAAAUCGGUACCUGGACGAGUUUAUAGAUGGGACCUUCCCGAUGGAGGCCACAACAGGUGAAGGGGAGCAGAGUGGUAGAAACUUGAGGCGCGAGCAGCCCGCAGUAAGGAUGAUAGCUGGGGGCCCAACAUUGGCCGGAGAUUCCAACAGAUCGAGAAAAAAUUAUGCUAGGUACGCCAUGACCAGUAAAGAGGUACUCUUCAGCACCCCAGCAGCCAAACGAGCAAGAGUCAGGCAAGUGCCGAUCAUGUGGACGGAUGAGGAUGAGGAAGGGAUUCUAUACCCCCACGAGGAUGCUUUAGUCAUCAAGGCUACUGUCGCUAGCAAGAAGUUUGAUCGGAUACUGAUUGAUACGGGGAGCUCAGUUGAUGUGUUAUUUAGGUCAACCCUGGAAGAGAUGGGAAUAGCCGACCGGAAGUUGGAAUACACCAAUACCUCCUUGAAGGGAUUCGGAGGAGGGAAGCUGGUCCCUCUGGGCGUGGUCGAGCUGCCUAUCACAAUUGGGAGCUCCCCGACCGAAAGAACAAUGAUACUGGACUUUGUCGUAGUGGAUGAAGAAAGUCCUUACCAGAUGAUUCUAGGUCGGCCGUUUUUAAGGAUGAGCAAAGCGGUGUUGUCCAACCAUUAUCUGGCUCUGAAGUACCGGGUGAACGGGGUAGUAGGAGUGGUACGAAGAGACCAGAGGAUCGCAAGAAGCUGCUACUCCUCGGCAGUAAGGGAAGCACUGCAGAUAACAUCCCUCGAUACCCGAGUGGAAAACAAGAAGGGCAGACAAGAACCUGUAGAGGAUCUGGAAACAGUAAGCCUGGGACCAGAGAACCCGGGAAAGACGAUCAGAAUCGGGUCGAGACUUAAGGGAGAGCAAAAGCAGGAGUUGGUGAAAUGCUUACAGGCUCAUGCUGACGUAUUUGCUUGGACACAUGAAGACAUGCCCGGGAUUGACCCUGAGGUAGCAUGUCAUAAGCUGGCAAUAAAGAAAGGUGCCCGGGCAGUAAGGCAGAAGAGGAGGUGCUUCAACCAGGAGAGGUAUGAGGCUAUAAAUGGCGAGGUGGAGAAGCUCUUGAGAGCAGGGUUCAUUCGGGAAGUCAGUUAUCCUGAGUGGAUAUCAAAUGUGGUGUUGGUAAAGAAGGCAAACGGCAAGUGGAGGAUGUGUGUGGAUUUCACAGACCUCAAUAAGGCGUGCCCAAAAGACAGCUUCCCUUUACCAAAGAUCGAUCAGCUAGUAGAUUCAACGACUGGACAUGGUCUGCUUAGCUUCAUGGACGCGUUCUCGGGAUACAACCAGAUCCCCAUGUACGAGCAGGAUGAGGAGAGCACGGCCUUCAUCACUAACCAAGGUUUGUUCUGUUACAGGGUAAUGCCAUUCGGUCUCAAAAAUGCUGGGGCCACCUAUCAAAGGCUGGUGAACAAAGUCUUUAAGCCGUUGAUUGGGAAAACCAUGGAGGUGUACGUGGAUGACAUGAUCACCAAAUCCAAAAUCCCGAAGGAACAUGUCAGACACCUCGAGGAGACAUUCGAGCUUUUGAGGAAGUAUAAGAUGAAGCUCAACUCGGAGAAGUGUGCUUUUGGGGUCGAGUCAGGGAAAUUCCUUGGAUUCAUGGUGAGCCAUAGGGGGAUUGAAGCAAAUCCCGAGAAAAUCCAGGCGAUUGUGCAAAUGACGUCUCUUUGUAACCUGAAGGAGAUGCAGAGCCUCACGGGGAGGUUGGCGGCGUUGAGCAGAUUCAUCUCCAGGGCUACAGAUAAGUGUCAGCCAUUCUUUCAAGUGAUAAUGAGGGGAAAGAAAACAGAAUGGACCCCAGAAUGCGAGGAAGCCUUCCGGAACUUGAAGCAAUACUUGCAGCAAGCUCCGCUGCUGUCCACACCAAGGGAUGGGGACAAGUUAUAUCUGUAUUUGGCGAUAUCGGAUCGGGCCGCCAGUUCUGUUCUGGUGAGAGAGGAAGAAGGAGUUCAGUAUCCGAUAUACUACACCAGCAAGGCCCUGCUCGACGCUGAAACCAGAUACCCGCCGUUGGAGAAAUGGGCACUUGCCCUUGUGGUUGCUGCUUGGAAGUUGAGGCCAUAUUUUCAAGCAUUCUCGGUCUCGGUAAUAACAAACCAGCUAUUGCGUCAAACUCUGCACAAGCCAGAUGCCUCUGGUCGGCUCGUCAAGUGGGCUGUAGAGCUGAGCGAGUUCGACAUAGAAUAUAAACCCCGCGCUGCGAUAAAAGCCCAGGCAAUGGCCGAUUUCAUAGCUGAAUUCACAGAGCCCGAAGUAUGCUUAGAUCAACAAGAUGCGGUUAUAGGCAAUGAUGAAACUCAAGUAUGGCAGGUGUCUGUGGAUGGGUCAUCAGGGGAGCGGGGUUCAGGAGCAGGGAUUGUCUUGGAAGGCCCAGAGGGGGAGGAGAUUUCUUAUGCUGUAAAGUUGGAAUUUGCAGCCACGAAUAACCAGGCAGAGUAUGAAGCCUUGAUAGCAGGUUUGGAAUUGGCUAAGGCCGUGAAAGCAGACAGAGUUAAGAUCAGAACUGAUUCCCAGCUGGUUGCGAAUCAUGUCAGUGAAAGAUUCCAACCAAGAGAGGAGAAGAUGGAGCAGUACCUGAAGAUAGUCAGGCAGAUGAUGGGGAAGUUCGAAGCAGUGGAGGUGAUACAAAUCCCCAGGGAGCAGAAUAGUCGAGCAGACAUUUUGGCUAGGAUGGCAGCAGAAGCCGACCCAAAAAUGCCAAAGUCGGUCCCUCUGGAGGUGAAGUCCAGCCCAAGUAUCGAUCAGAAUGUGGGGGUGUUGCGGAUAGAACAAAAAUGCUCUUGGAGGGACCCGAUAGUCUCAUACCUUAGAGACGGGGUAUUACCACCAGAUAAGCUGCGAGCUCGCAAGAUUAGAGCCCAGGCUUCGAGAUACGCGAUGAUUGAUGGGGUACUGUAUCGGCGAGGAUAUACACUACCGUUCCUUCGGUGUUUGGAUGAGGACGACGCGGAUUACGUACUGAGAGAAGUACAUGAAGGAAUUUGCGGGAAUCAUUCUGGCGGGAGGUCCCUGGCCCACAAGGUUCUAAGGCAGGGAUAUUUCUGGCCGACAUUGCACCAGGAUGCGCAAGAGAAGACCAGGAGUUGUGUAAGCUGCCAGAGUUUUGCAAAUUUCUCUAACCAGCCACCAGAGAAGCUCACCUCCAUGACCUCCCCCUGACCAUUUGCUCAAUGGGGAAUUGAUCUGAUCGGCCCAUUGCCAAAGGCACGAGGAGCAGCAACACAUGCAAUAGUUGCUAUAGAUUACUUCACGAAGUGGAUAGAGGUAGAAGCCCUUAGCAGUAUCACAGAGAAGAAAACAACAGACUUUGUGUGGAGAAACCUGGUCUGUCGAUACGGGAUCCCUUAUGCCUUGGUAAUAGAUAAUGGCAGGCAGUUCGAUAAUCACAGCUUCAGGGAGUUCUGCCAGAACCUCGGGAUAGAGCUGAAGUAUUGCUCGCCUGCUCACCCUCAAUCGAAUGGACAAGUAGAAGCAGCCAACAAGACCAUCAAGAGACUUUUGAAAACCAGGCUUGGAGCAAAAAAGGGUGCGUGGGUUGACGAGCUGUCAGGUGUGCUAUGGGCAUACAGAACAACCCACAAAACCGCAACUGGGGAGACACCAUUCGCUUUGGCUUUCGGGCAUGAAGCGGUCGUGCCGGCUGAGAUAGGGACGACCACACACCGGACAGGUCAUUUCAAUGAGCAGGAGAACGACGAGCAGAUGUGUUUGAAUCUUGAUCUGCUAACGGAAAGGAGAGAGCAAGCAGCCGAGCGAUCAGCCAUUUACCAACAGAGGGUUGCUCGAUAUUAUAACUAGAAGGUGAACAUACGGCAAUUCAGGGUCGGAGACUGGGUACUGAGAAGAGUGAAUCAGAGCACCAAAGAUUCGACUCAAGGAGUGCUGGGACCGAAUUGAGAAGGGCCAUAUAGAGUCAAGCAGAUAGCGGGACCCGGAGCUUACAAGCUGGUUCGCACGGACGGCCACGAGGUGAAACGCCCAUGGAACGCAGCACACCUCCGAAAAUACUUCCAGUGAGACUUGUUGGCAUUUGAAAGCUAUUUUUGCUCAUGCUCAUUGUGGUUUAUCUUUCACGCUUUAUGUCCAAACAAUUUCAUGUAAGCCGAAUCCGGCCAUUAAUAGAACGUCGAGGAAUUUCUUUUGCUUGAAACCGAGGAAAUUAUCCAAGGCAUGCAAAGGCUCACCAAGUCUCAAAGCCUGUCUUAUGGCGAGACAGAAGCCAAGCAUGCCAGGAUCUGCUCGGCCACGAGAAGGCUAGCAGAAUCCCAAGCUUUGAAGAAAUUAUCCAAGGCAUGCAAAGGCUCACCAAGUCUCAAAGCCUGUCUUAUGGCGAGACAGAAGCCAAGCAUGCCAGGAUCUGCUCGGCCACGAGAAGGCUAGCAGAAUCCCAAGCUUUGAAGAAAUUAUCCAAGGCAUGCAAAGGCUCACCAAGUCUCAAAGCCUGUCUUAUGGCGAGACAGAAGCCGAGCAUGCCAGGAUCUGCUCGGCCACGAGAAGGCUAGCAGAAUCCCAAGCUUUGAAGAAAUUAUCCAAGGCAUGCAAAGGCUCACCAAGUCUCAAAGCCUGUUUUAUGGCGAGACAGAAGCCAAGCAUGCCAGGAUCUGCUCGGCCACGAGAAGGCUAGCAGAAUCCCAAGCUUUGAAGAAAUUAUCCAAGGCAUGCAAAGGCUCACCAAGUCUCAAAGCCUGUCUUAUGGCGAGACAGAAGCCAAGCAUGCCAGGAUCUGCUCGGCCACGAGAAGGCUAGCAGAAUCCCAAGCUUUGAAGAAAUUAUCCAAGGCAUGCAAAGGCUCACCAAGUCUCAAAGCCUGUCUUAUGGCGAGACAGAAGCCAAGCAUGCCAGGAUCUGCUCGGCCACGAGAAGGCUAGCAGAAUCCCAAGCUUUGAAGAAAUUAUCCAAGGCAUGCAAAGGCUCACCAAGUCUCAAAGCCUGUCUUAUGGCGAGACAGAAGCCAAGCAUGCCAGGAUCUGCUCGGCCACGAGAGGGCGAGCAGAAUCCCAAUCCUCGAAGAAUCCAAGGCAUGCAAAGGCUCGACAAAGUCUCAAAGCCUGUUUUAGGGCGAGGCAGAAGCCAAGCGUGCCAGGAUCUGCUCGACCGCGCGAAGGCGAGCCGAAUCCCAGGCAUUGAAGAAUCCCCUAAGGCAUGUGGCAAAACCAUGAGCCAAGCCAGAACCUGCUCGUCCAGACAAAGAUAAGUAGAUUCUCAACCGAAAAUUAAUUCGCACUUACAACACAAGAAAGUAAUCAAAAACCAUUUUUAUUAAUUUGUUAAUAACUAACAUAGGGGAUAAUCUUCAUGAACAUUGUUCGUUACAAUACAAGAGACACAUCAGGAAGAUGGUGGAUCAGUAAGCCCGGCAGCAUCGGUCGGCUGAACCUCCACAGGUGCAGGAGGGGUAUCACCCGUUGCGUCCGGGGGGGUGCUCGCCUCGCCAACAUCAGCAGGGAUUGCACGAGGAGGAGAGUCUUCCUCCUCGACCACGAUCGGCUCUACCCCACCGGCAUCUUCCUUGGCCGCCUCCUCGUCCAUGUGUUGAGCAACACCAGCUGCAAGGUCGUCCAUCUUCAGAUCAGGGUGUUGCUUCCUAAGGACGGCCAUGAUGCAACGAUAGGAAUGCCGAAGUCCCUAGUCGUACUGGUGGUCAGCCUCCCUCUCCAAGUUCUCGACCUGAGCUCGGUGGGAGUCGCGGAGAGAUUCGAGCUGAGCCUCAUACAUAGCCUUCUGCCUUUGCAGAUCCCCCUUGACCUUGGUGAGCUCCUCCUCGAGGGAAAUAGCUUUUGCUUGAGCAAGUGAUUCUUGCUCUAUCAGCUUCAGAUUCUUGAGAUUCAGCUCCCCUGCUUUCUUCUCGGCAACGUCAGCUCUGGUCGUCGCCGAUUGAAUAUCCUCCUUCAUCUUCCGGUCGUAGCGGCCAACCUUAGCCUUGUAAUAGGUGGUCAUGCAGCUGAGGUGGAAAGCGCUAUGCUGCAUGGCCCCCACCAGCUCACUCAAGGUGUGGCCAUCAAAGUCCUCCAGGUCCUUCUUGCUCACGAGUUUAGUUAACUCAUUGAGGUAAGGGACCAGGUGUUCUGCUCGGCUGUCAGGUAAGCGAGAUCGAGGCCCGACAGGAGGAGAAGAGGGAGCAGGAUCUGUGGCUGCUCCACUAGCUUCCCCGACUUUCACAGGAGCAGAAGGUAAAAUCUUCAAGGGUGGGACCUGCUGCACGAUGUUGGCCCGCUUUGCAGUAGGGGCGUCCUUACUCUGGUCCCUCUUCGUGGUUGGAGGUCGGGAACGUUUUCGGGUCAGAGCCCCAAUCACAGCGUCCUCCAUCCUAUGGCCAGGAAGUAUCAAGCGAGACUCGAGCAAGUUGUAUGUAGUUAACAGUUCUCGACUCGAGCAGGAAUUGGCUAGUACAGCCUCGACCCGUUUGAGCUGGUCAGGUCCAAGCGGGAAGUGGACACCCCAAGAAACUACAACACAAACAGACACUCGGUUAGAGACAAAAAAAAAAGGAAGAAAAGAGAGCAAGAACAAUUAUGGAUGCAAGACAUCUAGAGCGAGCAGGCAACCUGGGACCGUGAAACGGGGUGGGACGCGACAAUCCUUCCCGUCUAUUUGUGCAACUUGACCCCAAGGACCCCCAGCAAAAAAGAAUUUUCUCUUCCAAGUCCCACCACCACCGGUCGGAAGAUCGGUUAUGGGUUUCCGGCUCUUGGUGCUAGAUUGGAAGUAGUACCAGCCGGCAUCUUUGGGGCUGCUCUUUAGCUGGUACAGGUGCUUUACCUCAUCAACCGUGGGCUCGCUUUGGCAACAUCUGUCCCACAAGAUGAACAGACCAGAGAGCACUCUCCACCCAUUGGGAUUCAGCUGACCAGGAGCUAGAUUUAGCCCGUUAAGUAUCCGGGCAAAGUAGGGUUGCAAGGGACACCUCAGCCCGUACUUAAAGCUCUCUAGAAACAGGGUAACGUAUCCCCUGGGAGGCCGGCUGGGAGCAUUCUUCUUUCCUAGGACCUUGAGAGGUAUCUCACCAGGAAUGCUAUACCUAAGCCGGAGGUCAUUGAGCUCAUCAAACGAGGUCGUGCACGUCAUGUAAUCAAUGGCAUAAUCGCGCGACAAGGCUCUGCCUCCUACUGUACCCCGUUCUUCUGGUCGUGAUGUUCCAGAUGGAGACACCUCACCAGAGUCACCUUCCCCAUUCUCACUUAAGGUGUCCUCGGAGCCAGAAGAUCCCUCCUCGCCAUUGCUUCCGCUCGUGGAGGUUGUUUGGGGGGACAUCCUCCUAGCACUAGUCCCGACACUAAACCUGAUGGGUUCUAAGGGGAUCCCGGGGUCAAAAGCAGGAUCAGUGAGCAGACCGGGCAGGAAACUUAGUUCGUCGUCAUCAAUCUCAACGACUUUCUCCUUACCCUUCGACAUUCCCUAAGCUCUAACCACAACACCACCAACUACUACCCAAACAGAAGAGAAGAGAAAUUAUCUACAACUAUCCGAGACCAAGGAGAUAGAAGAAAUACCUGAAGUAAUGGUUCAGUCGGUGAAAGUCAGAGAUGGAGGCCUUUUAUGCCGGAACUUCUUUGCCGGAGAGACAGAGACGGAGACGGAGUGAAUGAUGAAUAUGGCGUUUGAGAGGAUUUGGUUUUCCUAAUGAGGACGGACUCUUGGGUUGCCAGCAUUUAACGGUGCCGAAUCCCGAGGGUCUCGUAACCGUCGGUUCGAAAUUCAAAUGGAGGGGGGGAUUUCUGCCACGUCACCUCGUCCGCAAUUAAAUGCGACAUGACUCUUGGCAGCCUUUUCCGAUCCCACGCGAGCGAGUACUAACGAGUUUCUACUGCUGGUCCACUACAUUACCCAACACCAGAAACUGGGGGACCGGUGUUUAGGAGAAAUACGUCGACGAGACCAGGCAUGGUGAGCGGAUAUCUGAUGGCAGAGUUCUGCGAACCGGUAUGUCCCGUAAAAGCCUGGUGCGCGGGGGAACAGGAACAGAAAUAUCCUGCUCACCCACGAGCACGUCAUCCACGAGGCCAAUUUCCUGUAAGAGGCAUAAGGCCAUUCCGGCUAGAGGUCGAGAGGCGAGGAGACCCGGUCGACGGCAGUCGGCAAGACGGGCUCCCCAGCCCGAGAAUCUAGGUACGACAGCCACGCUUUUCCCAGAACCGUGGCGUAACACGCAAGAUCUCACAGAACCACGACAGCCACGCUUUCCCCAGAACCGUGGCGUAACACGCAAGAUCUCACAGAACCACGACAGCCACGCUUUCCCCAGAACCGUGGCGUAACAGGCAAGAUUCCGCGUUUGCCCAUAACGCAGCAGUCAGAGUCCCAUACUGUCUGGGAAAAAGCGGAAGACUGGGAUUCAGGGGAAGCCUAUAAAACGGUAGCCAACGAAGGUAAAAGGGUUAGCAUUUUUGAGAUUAAAAAAGAAAUUCAAAAGAAGAGAAAACCACGAAAAAGCCAUAAGAUCUGUGGCGAGCGUUCCCGGAACCUUCAUAUCUGACUUGAGCGUCGGAGGGUUUGCGCCGGGAAAACAACCGGCGUACUCUGACUUGUCUGUGUGCGUAGGAACCUCUGGAGAAGAAGCCUCACGAGAAGACCUUCUGGUCGUGAAGAAGUUGAUCGGGCAGAAAUCCUGGUCAUAGAACGAGGAGAACUGGAAUCCUGCAUCAACAAUUCCAACCCCAGUGGUUCGAGUGACAGUUGAUAACACAAACGUUGGUGACAGAAUCUGGUCGGUCCAAGGGCGAGCAGAUUUCCGCAUCAACAAGUAUUGUUCUAGCAAUAGCAAUCACUCUAGCUCUCAAAUCUAAGCUUAUUGAAUGUAGAAAGGGAAGCACAGUGUUGUCAAAUGAUAGUAUCUUGUCAUCACAAGCAACGCUAAGAAGAUUUUCAUACUUAGAACUUUUACGAGCAACAAAUAAUUUUUCUGAAAACAACAUAAUUGGCAUAGGAGGUUUUGGUUCUGUUUACGGUGGAAGACUUGAAGAUGGGAUGAAGAUUGCAAUAAAAGUGUUUCACCAGCAAUGUGCAAGCGCAUUGAAGAGUUUUGAGGCUGAAUGUGAAGUGUUAAAAAAUAUUCGCCAUCGAAACCUUAUCAAAGUUAUCAGCAGUUGCUCGAACGAUGACUUCAAAGCAUUAGUCCUAGAAUACAUGUCCAAUGGGAGCUUGGGGGAUUGGCUGCAUUCUAGCAAUUAUGUGUUUAAUAUAUUUCAGAGGUUGAACAUAAUGAUUGACGUUGCAUCAUCUUUAGAAUAUCUCCACUUCGAUCAUUCAACUGCUAUUAUUCAUUGUGACUUAAAGCCUAGUAAUGUAUUGUUGGACGAAAAUAUGGUUGCUCAUUUGAGUGAUUUUGGCAUAGCAAAGCUUUUAAGAGGAGAGGAUGAGUCUAUGAUGCGAACAAAAACCCUUGCCACUAUAGGUUAUAUGGCACCAGGUUUGCUUCAAACAACUUUUUUUUAGUUCAUUUUAAAUUUUCUAAAUCAUUGAUUUUUACGAUCCUCAUAUCAAAUUGUUACUGAUUAUUUAUCUAAUUGUGAAAUUAAUUUGAUUCAUAGAGUACGGCAUUGAAGGAGAAGUAUCUACAAAAAGUGAUGUUUACAGCUAUGGGAUUAUGUUGAUGGAAACUUUUACCAAGAAAAAACCCACAGAUGAAAUUUUUGUUGGAGAAUUGAGCUUAAAGCGUUAGGUUAAUGACUUGCUUCCUAAUUCAUUAGUGGAAGUUGUGGACAAAACUCUGCUAAGUGGAGAGGAAAAACUUUCUACAGCAAAGGAUCAAUGUCUGUUGUCUAUCUUUAUUUUAGCUCUGGAGUGUACAAUGGAAUCACCGGAAAAGAGGAUUAAUGCAAAAGAUAUUGUUACAGGAUUACUCAAGAUAAGAGACAUUGAGUAAAAGGAUUGGAAAUUUAAGUUAAUUUCGUUUGCUUUCAUUGAUAGUUAAAUAGAAUUCAUGUAAUAAGUGUAAGAACCUUAUAUCUUUUCCUUUGAUUUUUUUUCUUGAGAAAACUGUUGCAGUCAUCUUGUUUGCAUGGACAGAGUUGAUUUAGUUCUUCCAAGAAAUGCUACUGAUGAUCUUUGUUUUAUACUUUCUCUUUUUCUUUUUUUUGCAUGUGUUUAGGUAGAAUAGUGAUUUGGUUGCACUUUAAGAAGUCAAACUACACUAAAGAAUAUGAUUUAAUUUAUUAAACAAAACUUCAAGUUCAAGAAAAGUAUCUCAUUGCCCCCAAUGCUUUGGACACCUAUAUAUUGAAAGGUUUGUUGUCCUCAGCUUUUGUUUAGAGCAAAAGUUCGAGUCCCAUAAAGGCUCAAACAUUCCUUUCCUUCAUCCCGAGGGCGCCUUCUGUCCUCUGUUUUCUAUUUCCACACACAAAUAGCAAAAAGAAAUUAGAAUGACAACUGGGACAUAUAUAAGAGUGAAAUAAUUAAAAAAAUUAUGCUUUUUUGUUUGUCGUGUUAAAAUCGUAAGUACCGAAGUACUAUGAAAGAGAUUAAUUUACAGAAACUGAAGCCAAGGGUUAAAAAAAAAGUGCAAAGAGAAUAAUUGUAUUGGUAGCACAAUGUCAUAUUCAUACAGAGAUCAAGUAUAUUAUUUACGGCUAGUAAGGACUAAGAAUUAAUUGUACACUAUUGUUUUAUUCUACAAUCAAUCUUGACCCUUGAUGCUUGGCUCUCAAUCUUGUCCAUUGAUCUUCUCUGAUUUUGGAGACUUGAAGACCUUUCAGUAUCAUGCCUUGUUGUUGGUGUCUUCCAUGCUGUAGAACCGUCGACUUGCCAGGAAUUUGUUCAUUGAUGCAUUUUAUCAAACAGUUGGCCUGCUCAUAGCAAACAGCUCCUGUGUUAACUCCCCCUCCAUAGCUCAACUAUUUGGGAAGACAAUUAAUUGAGCUUGUUUCACAAUUAUAUGAAUCUGAAAGUUCAAGUUCAAUUCGAUGUUAUUGUUGGAGAAUUAACAAAUAAAACACACUAUUUUAUUUCUUCAACAACACUCCUCACCAAUUACAACUCUUAUUUUUCACUCUCUACACCUUAGAGAUUUUGCUACUUCACUUGAUGUUUAAACCAAAUGGGAGAGGGGGUAUUUAUACAUGAAACAAACUAAUCACAACCAUUCAUUUAUUCAACUAAUAAACAAAUCCUCACCAUCCAUUAAAACCUACUACUCACCUACUUCACCAACCACACCUAACACAAAUAAUUCAAACCUCACCAACCAUACCUACUCAUGGAACCUUCCAUGAGUUGGGCUUGAUUUAUUCAUCUUGGAUCAAGUUUAUGAUCCAACAUCUCCCCUUAAAUUUGAUCCUGUGACACCAAGCAAACUUCUGAAUCUUACAAAGUCUUCUUGCUUGAGUGGCUUAGUGAAGAUAUCAGCUGCUUGAUCUUGUGAUUUUACAUACUUGAUUUGCACUUCUUUUUUUGCAAUACACUCUUUUAUGAAAUGAUAGCAAGUGUCUAUGUGUUUACUUCGAUCAUGAAAGACUGGAUUCUUGGAUCGGGCAAUUGCUAAUUUGUUAUCAACACAAAUCUCGAUUGGCUCUUUUUGUGCCAAACUCAACUCCUUCAGCAAAUUUCUGAGCCAAAUUGCAUGACAAACACUUGAUGUGGCAGCUACAUAUUCAGCUUCACAGGUGGAUAGCGUGACAAUUGGUUGCUUCUUUGACAUCCAUGUGAAAGCAGUAUCUCCCAUGAAGAACACAAAUCAUGUUGUGCUCUUUCGAUCAUCUACAUCUCCACCCCAAUCACUAUCGCUAUAUCCAAUAAGCUUGUAGUCAUUAGAAAAUGAGUAUAACAAGCCGAAAUUAAUUGUACCUUUGAUGUAGCGAAGGAUUCUUUUUGCAGCUUUAAAAUGGGUGGUCUUUGGAUUCUUCAUGUAUCGGCUCACAAGUCCAACAGCAUAAAGGAUAUCUGGUCUUGUGCAUGUCAAAUAACGUAAGCUUCCAACCAAACUUUUAAAGAAUGUUGGAUCUAUAUCUUCGCCUUCAUCAUAUUUGGAUAACUUGACUCCGCAUUCCACUGGCGUGCUUAUAGGCUUGCAAUCAUUCAUCUUGAACCUUUUGAGAAUCUCCUUUGCAUAGCUUUCUUGGGAGAUAAAUAUGCCUUCUUCUUUUUGCUUGACUUCAAUGCUGAGGUAAUAUGCCAUCAGUCCGAUGUCAGUCAUCUCGAACUCUUUGAUCGUCACUCUCUUGAACUCUUCAAACAAGCUUGGAUUACUUCCAGUGAAGAUGAGAUCAUUCACAUACAGGCACACAAUCAAAAUAUCUCCAUCUUUUUCUUUGACGUAGAAAGCAUGUUCAUAUGGGCAUUUGUGAAGCCUUUCUCUUAAAAAUACUUGUCAAUUCUGCUAUUCCAUGCCUUUGGUGCUUGCUUUAACCCGUAAAGAGCUUUCUUCAAUCUCAAAACUUUGUCUUCAUGUCCUUUCACCACAUAGCCUAAUGGUUGUUCGAUGUAAACUUCUUCUUCAAGGAAUCCAUUCAAGAAAGCAGACUUCACAUCCAUUUGAAAAAUCUUCCAUUUGUUCUGAACAGCCAAAGAAAUAAUAACUCUAAUAGUUUCAAGUCGAGCUACAGGAGCAAAUACCUCGUCAUAGUCUAUGCCAGCCUUUUGACUAUAGCCUUUUGCAACUAACCUCGCCUUAUGCCUUUCAAUUUCUCCCUUCGCAUUUCUUUUUGUUUUAUACACCCAUUUGACACCAAUCGCCUUGUGACCUUUUGGAAGAGUAGUAAGCUCCCAAGUAUCAUUCUUCACAAUGGCUUUGAUUUCUUCAUCCAUUGCAAUUCUCCACUUCUCAUCUAGUGCAGCUUUUUGGAAGUUGACUGGCUCACAAUCAACAAAGAGGCAAAAGAGAGUGAGAUUAUCAUGUCUCUCAGUUACCUCAUAGAGAUCUUGAAGACUCCUUAUACAUUCUUCGGUUCUUUCAUUUAAGAAAGACGGCGGUGAAUCUCCGCAUGUGGUUGAUGCUGGUGAGAUAGGUAGAGUGGCAGGCUCUUGUUGUUCGUCUACUUGUUUUAUCUAUGUAUGAUCAUCUUCUUAAAUGGGAAAGAAGUUGAAGUCAUCCACACCAGAGCCAAAAUCUCAUUCUCCUUCUUCAUCAAAAACUACAUCUCGACUGAUCACGAUCUUCCCGUUGUUUGGAUUGUAAAGCUUGUGUCCUUUGGAGUUGUUUUCGUAGCCGAUGAAGAUGAACUUCUCACUUUUGUCAUCCAACUUGGCUCUACUUUCGUCUGGUACAUGUACAUGAGCAAUGCUUCCGAAAACUCUUAGAUGGGUGAUGCCGGGUUUUCUUCCACUCCAAGUUUCUUGUGGCGUCUUGCCCCCACACGCUUCUUGUUGGAGAUCGAUUGGAAAAGUAGACUGCACAUGCAACAGCUUCAGCCCAAAAUUCUUUAAGUAGCCUCUUACUCUUAAGCAUGCUUCUUGCCAUAUCGAGGAUGGUUCUGUUCUUUCUUUCUACAACACCAUUUUAUUGGGGGGGAUCUUAGAACUGUCAAAGGACGUCGAAUUCCAUUUACUUCACAAAACUCUAAAAAUUCUUUGGAAGUGAACUCUCCACCUCAAUCAGAUCUCAUGGCUUUAAUCUGGUAUCCACUUUUUUUUUUCAACUGCAGCUUUAAACUUCUUGAAAGCUUCAAAGACUUCUGAUUUUUGCUUCAAAAAAUACACCCAAGUUUUUCUUGAAAAAUCAUCUAUGAAGAGAAGGAAGUAGUUACUUUUCCAAAGGAGUUUGGCUUGAAUGGACCGCACACAUCAGUAUGAAUGAGCUCGAGUGGUUUCUGAGCUCUUGAGUUUGACUCCUUUGGAAAGCUCUUUCUGAACUGCUUGCCAAGUAAACAUCCUUCACAAAGUUGAUCAGGGUGAUUGAUGUAUGGUAAGCCUUUCACCAUGUUCUUCUUAGAUAGUAGCUCCAGUCCUCCAAAGUUGAGAUGCCCAUAUCGAAGAUGCCAAGUUCAGGAUUGAUCUUUGUGACAGGCUUUGAGACAUUUUGCAACAUCAUUUUGAAUAUUUAAUGGAAACAUUCUAUUCUUCGACAUUUUCACCUUUGUAAUUAGAUUUCCUUUGUCAUCUCUUAGGAAAAGACUAUAAUCUUUUAAGUGAACAUCAUAGCCUUUUUCUAAAAGUUGACCUAAACUAAGAAUGUUGCUUUUCAUAUUGGGCACAUAGUAAACAUUCGAAAUUAUUUGGUGGCUACCAUCUUUUGCACGAAAAAGAAUGUUACCUCUACCUUUUACUGGUACUUUUGAAUCAUCUCCAAAAGCGACACUGCCAUUCACAGAUUCACUUAGUUGCACGGACAUGCUUCUAUUUCCACUCAUAUGAUUGCUAGCACCUGUGUCAAGAUACCAUGUAUUUUCUUGAUCUCCACUUGUGUCAUUGCGUGCUAGUAAAAGUGUGCCAUCUUCACCAUUUUUCUCUUCAGCAUAGUUCACUCUCUCAUCAAUUCUGGUGCUUGGAGCUCUGCAUUCUGAAGCAUAAUGCCCAAACUUUUGACAAUUAUAGCACUGUACUUGGGAUUUGUCAUACCUCGAUCUUAGAUUGCCUCUGCCUCGUCCUCUGGUUGAGCUUUCUCCUUUGGCAUAAUUUGAGUUGUUGUUGUUGAAAUUCGAACCUCGUCCAUGACCACGACCUCUACCUCGUCCUCGACCUCUACCUCGGACAUAGUGCCUUCUUUCGUUGUCGGAUUGACUUCCAUCUUGAGAAGUUGUUCUUCGAUUCCUUGCUUUUUUUUUUGUUUUUCUUCAUAGGCUUGCAACCUUCCUUGAAGUUGCUUGAUCGUCAUAUCCUCCAAAUCUCUUGUUUCUUCAAUUGUCACAACAAUAUGGUCAAACUUCGAGUCUACUGAUCAAAGUAUCUUUUCAAUGAUCCUUACCUCUUUUAACUCCUCGCCAUUUCUUUUUAAUUCAUUGGAAACGGUCACAACCCGAGUAAAGUAGUCAGAAAUUGACUCCGAUGCCUUCAUGUGUAAGGACUCAAAUUCUCCUCGUAAUGUUUGGAAACGAACCUUUUUAACUUGCUCUGCUCCUUUGUAAGAAGUCUCUAGUUUCUCCCAUACUUCUUUUGAGGAGGUUGUACCAGCAAUCUUUUCAAAAGAAUCUUCAUAUAAUGAUUGAAAGAUGAGAUAUUUUGCUUUAUUUUCUUUCUUCUUCAAGUCUUUUAAAUUCUCCUUCUGCGCCGCAGUUAAAGUGGCUUCAUUUUCUGGCACAAUAAAGCCUUUCUCCACGAUAUCCCAUACGUCAUGUGCGCCCAAUAGAGCCUUCAUUUUAAUACUCCAAUUGUCAAACUUACUUCCCUUUAAUUGUGGAACUUGAAAUGAAAUCAUACCACCGUUUGCCAUAACUCACAAAUUGAGUGAGAAUUUGGAGAUUCUGAAAGCACAGAUGGAUCUGGCACGUCGAAAAACCUUGGGAAUGACUCGAGUCAACUUUCGGUCAAUGGUCAACAGUCAAUGCUAGUCAACGGUCAACGUCGGGCAACGGUCAAUGCCGGCUUGGUAGUCUUGGUUCAGUCCGGAUUGGUUCAGCUCGAGUUGGCUCGGUUCGACUUGACUCGGUUCAGCUCGGCUCAGCUUGGUUCAGUUCGGCUCAGCUUGGUUCAACUCGGUGAGUCGACUUAGCGUCAGGACAGAAAACUUCCGGCGGCAAGUGUGGGCGCGUUGGGUCUCGGAUCCGGAUGAUUAUUGCGGCGUCACGUUCCUCUCUUCGAGAUCUUCGAUUUGAUAUGCUAUAUGACUAUAUAUAGCAUUAAACACUAACUCUGAUACCAUUUUGUUGGAGAAUUAACAAAUAAAACACACAAAAAACACACUAUUUUAUUUCUUCAACAACACUCCUCACCAAUUACAACUCUUAUUUUUCACUCUCUACACCUUAGAGAUUUUGCUACUUCACUUGAUGUUUAAACCAAAUGGGAGAGGAGGUAUUUAUACAUGAAACAAACUAAUCACAACCAUUCAUUUAUUCAACUAAUAAACAAAUCCUCACCAUCCAUUAAAACCUACCACUCACCUACUUCACCAACCAUACCUACUCAUGGAAUCUUCCAUGAGUUGGGCUUGAUUUAUUCAUCUUGGAUCAAGUUUAUGAUCCAACAGUUAUAUGGGUAUUUCAUUUAUUUGAGUAGGGGUUAGGGGUCAAUUGGAUACAAAUUCAAAAUUAUCCUUACUUGAGAUGGUGAUAAAAGUUGGGGAUUUAGUUUGGGUGUCAUUAGCUACAAAUAUUAAACUCAUACAUCUAAUUCAAAAUUAGAGGGCUGAUAUAUGUGCAUCCUCGUGCACAUUAUAGUGACACGUGUCACCAUCCAACAACCUAUCCAAUGAAAAAUUGACCUGCAUCUUGUGCGCUUCUGAUCAAAAUCCUGAAAAUUAAUCACAAAGUUAUACUUUUAUUAUAAAAAGAAUAAAGAAACUCCAAGAAAAAAAAAAGACUUACAUAAAUAGUUUGAGUAAUCUAGAUUCCAAGUUGUCUAUAUUAGCUUGAUCUUUUUAUAAAUAGUCAUCUUCGAAAAAAAAUUCCACCAAUAUAUAUUUUAAUUUUAUGUUAAUUAAUAAAUAGAAAAAAAAAUCAUUUUAGAAUUAAUUAAAACAUUAUUUAUUGUUGCCAAAAAAAGGAAGAAUUUAGUGAUAAGAAAAAAGUGUCUCAAAUAUACGUUAAAAAAAUUAAUCAUGGUGGGUUCGAUUGAUUGAAUUUUUUUUAUCUUUUUCUUUUUUAAGAAUUAAGACAAUUGGAUUGAUUGAGUAAUAAUAAAAUAUAUGUAUUUGGCAAAUGGCAGGGAGGCUUUCGUCUAAUGCAGAUUGAUUAGAGAGAAAAUAUAACAAUUUUAAGCUCGUCAGAUUCGAAGCUGCUUACUUGUCGUGUGGGGAUCACUUCCGUGUCUUAUUUUUCUAGAAAAAUCUUGAUCAUUGGAUUUCCCAUUAGUCAAUACAGAAAUGUUGAUCUUGAUUCUUGAUUAAGAUCGAAGUUUGAUUCUAACCAACAUGAUGUCAGAUUCAGAUUGCGAAGCAAGCAAAUUGAAAGUAACUUGUUCUAUUUUGAUAAACACAAGUUCUAAUAAAACAUUCUCAUAGUAAAGUGAAUUACCAUCCAACGAUCCAACUCAUGUUUUCAAAUUGUAAAUUGCAAAUCAUGUGUUUGCUCCAUUACAGCGUUUCUUCAAUCUGAAAUAGAGAAUCAUUUGUGUUCUGGAUUAAUCGUGGGUCUAUAUCCAAAUCUAAAAAUUGACUAACUUAAUUUCUAUUAAAUUCUUAAUCCUAACAAGAAAAAUUGAAGAUUAAAAACGACUAAUUUGGUACCAUACCACUAUUGUAACAUAGGUAGAUCCUCUAUUAAUUGGAGUAAAGAUUGAAUUAUCUCAUUUAUUACGGUUUAUCAAAAUCUUGUGUCAAAAUCUAUUAAUGAUAUAGGUUCAAGGAUGAAAGAGUCACUUCAUUACUUUUGAGUUCGCAAAUAGAUGAAUGGAUCUUAUUUUUAGAUUCCGGAGACAAGUUUAUUGGAAGAAACAAGUUUAUUGAUGUGAGGCCAUUGAGAUUGUAAGUUUUAAAUCUGAGAAGAAUACCCACACACCCAUUAUCCUAUUACUCUUAUAUCACAUGAAGAGAAUUCAACAUUUGAUUCACAAGGAAAAAAUUUGUGAGGAUUGUGAGGGUUGAUGGAAUAUAAUUUAGAUACAAAGUGUUUACCAGUGCGAUGCUUCGCAAGUGUUCUGGAAUCAAUAUAAACUCACAUUAUUUUCAUAGUGAUUGUUUCAUUUGCACGUGGAUAUAAUCACAUGUCGAGAUUUUUUUCCUUAAAUUAUGGUCUUAUUUAGUACCGAGGUGUUAUAUCUUUUAACGUACAAUUAUUGUUGGAAAAAAGUUGCAACUAUCAAAUAAAAUUAAUACUAUGUGCUAAAUAUAAUUGUUAAAUAAUAAUUUUGACAAAAUUAGUGAAGUUAUAUAGAUUUUUUUUUAUCAUCCAAGUAUAAAAUCAAAUCAACUUAACUUCUAAGUUAUAUAUCGGCUACUGUUUAUCAUAUGUUUUAGUUCUGUAACUUUUAAGUUAUAGUUACCCAACCUUAAUUCUAAACAAGACCUAUAAAGAUCAAAGAUUUCCUCAUUAAAUUAUAUGUCUUGUGAUUGCUUAUUUAAUUUAUAUUUUUGUUAUUUAUCUUUAUUAAUUAUAAUCAUCUUUUUAUAAAUUAAAAUUGAAGGAAGUUGAUUGAUGUUGUUGACACACACACACACACGCACGCACACACUCACAAAGAUAUAUUGGAAGUGCUUACGUUGACUCAAAGUUGUUGGGAAUUAAUGCAUGUAUUAAUUGAUUUAUUGGGAGUGUUUAAAUGAUUUUGUGAUUUACUUGAUUUAUUGAUUGAAUAUUGUUUGAUUGCUUCACAUCCAUUCUAGAAAGUUUAUUUCUUUGUGAAAUUUCAACGAAAUAUGUUUUUGUUUUUAAAUAAGGGUGUUCUAAAUAAUGUUAAAAAAUAUAUGGACUAAUUAGAAUUAAUUAUUAGGUAAUUAACUUAAUCUGUACAGGGUGAAACAACAUUUAUCCUAAUUAUAUCAUGAUAAAUACUUUUCCGAUUAGAAUUAGGAAAUCAUAGGUUUGUUGAAUUAUUAUUUUUAUUUUUCUUUGCAGAAACGGAUUAGAGAAUUAGAAAACAAUGUUGAUGUCAAAAUCUGAUCUAGUCGGUUAGCGACUUAAUAUCAUAUUACUGCACCAGCAUUAAAUUUAUUUGGUGGAGAAUCGGCUGGUCAAUUGUCAAGAUGUCCUGCAAUCACUAGCGAUUAACCUACGAAUACUUGAAAUCACAGAAGACGGUAAGAGGCACUGGAAGUUUUUUCAACGUGAACCUUCUGACGCUCAAGUCAGUUUAUAGGUUUACCAUAAUAAAAAUAAAUAAUUUCUAUUUAAAACAAAAAAUAGAGAUCAAAAGCUCAAAAAUAAAACCCAAUCCCAAUAUGAAGAAUAAUUUUUUUUUUUUAGCUUGGCCGAAUCCUUCUGCCUCCUAAAGAAACAUAACAGAGAAGUAGGUAGCCAUGUUCCCUAUGUAACGCCCCACUCCCAUCUUUUAUUCCUCCCCCUCUCUUCCGUUGCCUUCUUUUGCUCACUAUCCUUUAUAAUUUUUUAUGCUUGUCUUCCCAAAAUAGCCUUUGAAUACACAAGUAAAUGUCUAGGCUUUGGUGAGGAUAGUUUGGUCAUUGCAUUUUACAAGUAAGAUGACUGGUGGAGAAAAAUGAGGAGUGCACAAAACUCUUCAGCAAAUCCCACCAACAAUUCCAUUUUCUUAAUUAAUUAAUCUCCUUUUUUUAUCCCCAAACAAAUCCUAAUGAUACCAUUAUCAGGUUUAAAACAGUACACAAAUAGUGAAAAGCUAACUAGUCUGUAGAGUAAUUUGCUAAUUGCUAUCUCCUCUCUACGCGCGCUGAAUAAUUUGUUGCAUGCAAACUUUUUAUUUUAUGCAAAUCGUAUGUACUGUAACAUUGGAAUUGAUGGAUAAGCAAAAAUACAAGAAUAUUUAUGCCAAUAAAAAUAGUUUUUUUUUCCUUUUUAAAUAAACACAACGCGAUGUUGCUCUGCUCUACAUUUUUGCUAUCUCUUUAUUCUUUUUUUUUUUUUUUGGGCUUCUUAAAGCCUCAAACUUUGAUAACCAAAACUUCAUCGACCUAUGAAAAAAUCUGCAGAUUAGUUUUUAUUAUCGGAAUAAUUGUUUGAGAAUACUAAAACAAAAUAUAAAAUAAGAAAAUAGGGGGUUAAAUUAGAGGGGGAAAAAAGGCAUGUUCUAUCGAUUACUAUAGCUUAAGGGGAAAAAAAAAAUCAAUUGGGAAUUUUUUUCUUUAAUUUUUGUUUUACUUGAUAGAGAUUUCUCCUUAGUCCUUACAGUUUUAAGUUUGGAUGCCGUAGGGUUAGUAAUUUAGUAUUUCCCUUGCAAGCUGAGGUUAAGGAUGGAAUUUCUUUAAAGAAAUUAAAAAGGAUUAAAGAAAAGCAUACCAAUAGGUAAUUAUAAAUAACCAUAAAUAAACAUAAAAAAAAUGUUUAUGAAGUAAAUUACACAUGCACAUAUUAUUUUUUUGUUAUAUUUCUUACUUGUCUAUUUUAUUUGCUGCUUGAUAACCCUUAAAUACUAAUGUAUUAAAAAAGAUUACUCAAAAUGAUGACCACUGGCUUCGCACCAUUUAACCGGCAUACAUUUCUACAAAUUGAACAAGGCUAUUGAUUUUCAUUAUUUUUUUUUAUAAAUUACUAUUUUAAUUUUCACUUUUUAUUGGGUUGUUUAACGGAUUAGUGAAGUUGGUGGUCGUGAUGCACUCACAAGGUACAAUUUUAUUUUAUAAUUUCAAAUUUGUAUUUUAAAAUGCAGGUACAUUAUGUAUACAUAAUUAUUGAUUUUCAUAUGUGGGUGUUUUGAAAUAUUGCUAAAAGACCAAACUUUAAUAAACUAUUUUUCAUCUUUUUUUCCCUUUUUUCCUAAAGGUUGAGUGAUAUCCGCAUUUUAAAUUCAUGUGCUACAAAAGCUAAUGAAUGCACAAAAUUCUUUUAUUUUUUCCUAGAAAAAUGGUAAGAGAAGAAGAUUUUUCUCUUGAAAAAGAAAAACUAAUACGAUGCAAACAUAGGAAAGAGGUCAGUGUUUUGGAUUAGAAUUUAGUAUUGAGCUGAAUUUUAUACUAAACUCUUUUAUAGUACUGCGAUUAAUGAACUCAUGAUUUGCUUUUGCUUUUACUUCAAGUGAAAGAAAGAGGAAACCUUUUGUUUUUUGUUUGAUUCUUGACUAUAGAUGUUACCUAUAUAGAGAGUUGAGGUAGCUGCCUUAAGUGAUGGUGAUAAAAAGAUUAAGCAGCGCACACAAUCUUACUGUCGUCCAGACCAUCCAGCUGUGAUGGCUCUAGUUUUUUGGUUACAUUAGCUUUAGUGGAAAGGAGGGCCAAUUUAACAAAGACUAGAUUUGGUGGCUUACUAUAAUGCUUAUUCUCAAGGAAUCUAAUGUUAUAAGAUGAUUUAAUGAUCUUCUAUGAUUGUGAGUAGUAUAGUAUAAUUGAAAAGAGCCUGGGCUCCUAUGAUGAAUAUUUAAUAGUAACACAAUAUUGUGAUUGAAAAAAACACUGUUACAAUAAACUCUUCAUUUAUUCAUUGCGGAUAUUGAAUGGCAAACAGAGAAUAAAAUGAAGCAGAGGAAUCUCAUUGCUAGUAAAAUUGACCCUCUUUAAUGUUAUAUGGCACAGGUGUGUGUACAGCAAGAGCAAGUGACUUGCAGUUUUUUUUUGUAAAAUAUACAGGUUAUGACCAUGAUCAUUGUAGUUAGGUUUUGACGAUUUUAGAUGCUUUUUUUAUUUUUUUUAAAUUGUGACACCUUUGAUUUAUGGUAGUUUUGCAGAAGAAAAAAAUAUAUAUAAAAAUUAGGAAGAAUGAGUUAACUAACAAUUGCAAUCAUUACAGCAAUGUUGAUGAGUGAUACAUCAUUUGAAAUUUACUUGUCAGUUGCUAAAAUGAUGAAAAAAAACAAUAAACAAUAGCAGUAAUAUUUUUAUGGAAAUUCUUGGUUUUUAUGGAAAUACUCUUGCUGAAAUUCUAAUUUUGACUUUCAACUCUUGGUUUUUAUGGAAAGUAAAAUGACUUGUUUGUUAUAUUCAUACAAUCCACUCUACAUAAUGAUUUCAUUUUAAUAAAUGCUUGAUGAUCUCCACUGAAAAACUACUUCAAUUCUUUUGUUUUAUUUAACUUUUUGGUUGUUGAAAAUAGCCUUAAUUUUCAAAUAACGGGAGAAAGAGUAAAGAACAUUUAACAAAUUUAUGUGCCAAAAAUAAAGGAGAAAUUGAAGAGAAAGGGUGCUUGCAGAAGUGGGUGCAAAGAUAAAUCAGUCUAUAAGAAUUAUUGUGGUUAUUAAUUUUUUGGCAAUAUAAAAAAUUUUCAGCAAAUAAAAAUUGAUUUUUUCCAAUUUACUAAAAAAUUAAUUAAAAACUUUGGCGAUAGCAUUUUUUGUUGGUGCAUGUACCCUCCCUUUUAAAAAAAUAUAAUAAUUAAUACUUAAUAUAGUAUUAAAUACGAAAAUAUCAAAAUUUGACUACACAAAUUUAUAUCAUUAGGUCCUUAAAAUUUAAAAUUGAAGACAUAGAAUGAAAUAUAUAUAUAUAUAUAUAAAUUUUAUAAUCUUAAAAUAUUUGAGCUUUGAAAGAUUUUUUAAAACAAAUGUACUUUUAUUUUUGUACAAUCAAUAUUUACUUAUUUAUUAUAUUUUUAUUCAUUAACUAUCAAUUGUGUGAGUAUAUCUACUUAGAAAUAUCAUAUCAAGGGAGAAUCUUGAUCCCACGUACACGCAAAUAUGUUAAUUUCUAUACGCUUCACUUACCUGUAGAAUCAAUUAUCUAAAAUGCAAGUUUGUGGCCACAAAAAAGGCCAAAGAAAGAAGAUAAUAACAAUUGACUUGUAUAUUAUACUCAUACAAUCCACUCGACAUAAUGAUAUCAUUUUAAUAAGGCAAUGGCUGAUGAUCUCCAUUGAAAAACUAAUUCAUUUUUUUUGCUUCAUUUAACUUUUUGGUUGUUGAAAAUAACCUUAAUUAUCAAAUAAUUGGAGAAAGAGUAAAGAACAUUUAACAAAUUUAUGUGCAAAAAAAAAAGGAGAAGUUGAAGAGAAAGGGUGCUUGCAGAAGUGGGUGUCAAAGAAAAAUCGGUCCAUAAGAAUUAUUGCGGUUAUUUUUUCGCAAUAUAAAAUUUUUAUAGCGUGUAAAAAUUAAUUUUUUUUCCGAUUUACUAAAAAAUUAACUAAAAACUUCUGCGACAGCAUUUUUUAUGGGUGCAUAUACCCUCCCUUUAAAAAAAUAAUAAUAAUUAAUGCUUAAUAUAGUAUUAAAUACGAAAAUAUCAAUAUUUGACAACUCAAAUUUAUAUCAUUAGGUCCUUAAAAUUUAAAAUUGAAGACACGAAAAGAAAUAUAUAAAAAUUUCAUUCUCAUGGAAAGGAUUCUCUUAUAAUCUUAUAAUAUUUGAGUUUUGAAAUUUUUUUGAAACAAAUGUAAUUUUAUUUGUGUACAAUCAAUAUUUACUUAUUUAUUAUAUUUUAAUUUAUUAACUAUCAAUCAUGUAAGUAUAUUUAGUCAGAAAAAUUAUAUCAAGAGAGAAUUCUAAUUUCACACAAACACAAAUACAAGACAAAUAUGUCAAUUUCUAUACUAUUCACUUUCCUGUAGAAUCAAUUAUCUAAAAUGGAAGUUUGUGGCUACAGAAAACUCGCCAAAGAAAGAAGAUAAUAACAAUUGAGCAUUGAUAGCAAAACUAAUGCAUCAUUUUCUUCUUGACUUGAUGAGAUGGCGCCAUCACAAAAAAACAAGUACCUUAAUUGACGGGCACUGAGUGAUGUGAAUACUACCAGCCAGUUCAUCUCUUCCAGUCUUGCUUAAUCACAAUCACAAACACCACGAGAUUGACAUUUGCAUUAUAUAUAUGUUCAGCAAUCGAAACACCUUGCAUUACCAAAUUAACCGCUAACAAACAAAGCAAUCUUUCAGGGAGAGAAACUUUAGUCUCAGUAUGAUCACUGUGUCAUUAACCCACUUCCUGCUUCUUUGCUUGGUUGUUGUAGCAGCAGCAGCAGCAAGCAACAAUAUUACCACAGACCAACAAGCUCUUCUUGCCCUGAAAGAUCAUAUAAUUUAUGAUCCGACCAACCUUUUAGCCCAUAAUUGGACCUCGAAUACAUCUGUUUGUACCUGGAUUGGCAUCACUUGUGAUGUCAAUAGCCAUAGAGUCGCAGCCUUAGAUAUUUCUCAAUUCAAUCUACAAGGCACCAUCCCUCCUCAACUUGGAAACCUCUCUUCACUCACAACGCUUAAUCUUAGUCAUAACAAGCUUUCUGGAAACGUUCCCUCCUCCAUCUACACAAUGCAUACGCUAAAAUUUCUUGACUUCACUGAUAACCAGCUCUCUGGUUCGGUGUCUUCCUUCGUCUUCAACAUGUCUUCAAUAGUAGAAAUUCGUUUGACCAAUAACAGAUUUUCUGGUGAGCUUCCGAAAAAUAUUUGCAACUAUCUUCCUCAUUUGAAAGCCCUUUUUUUGGACAAAAACAUGUUUCAUAGCAAAAUUCCUUCUGCUUUAUCAAAGUGCAAACAACUGCAACAAUUAAAUUUGCAGUUCAAUAAUUUAUCCGGUGCAAUACCAAAAGAAAUCGGCAACUUGACUAUGCUCAAAGGGAUAUCUCUAUUAUGCAACAAACUCCACGGUAUGUUCAUAAUACUAUGUAAAUAUUUUAAUUUCUCACUUGUUAUUUUUCUUGAAUACUUUAGAUAAGAUCUUGUAACAGAGAUUUUUUUGCAUCUAUGUUAAUUUGCCAGGUGAGAUACCCCACGAAAUCGCUAAUCUUCGAAAUCUAGAGGGUUUAGUGCUUGGAAUGAACAACCUAGUUGGUGUGUUACCAGCUCCAAUCUUCAACAUGUCAACACUGAAGGUACUUAUCCUCAUGGAUAACUCUCUCAGUGGAAGUCUACCAUCAAGAAUAGACCUUUCACUUCCAACUGUUGAGUUUCUUGAGUUGGCACAUAAUAGAUUUUCUGGAACCAUUCCUAGUUCCAUCACCAAUGCUUCUAAGCUCACCGUUCUAGCGUUGGGAGAGAACACAUUUUCGGGCUUCAUUCCAAACACAAUUGGUAAUUUAAAAAACCUUGAGUGGCUCAGCUUGGAGAAUAAUUACUUGAAAUCUUCAACCUCAAAAUUGAGCUUUCUUUCCUCUUUGGCAAAUUGCAAGAAAUUAAGAUUCUUAAACUUAGGAGGCAAUCCACUCGACGGUAUCCUUCCAAGUUCAAUAGGUAAUCUUUCUAAGUCUUUGGAAACACUUGUCAUCGCCAAUUGCAGUAUUAGUGGCAACAUUCCGGAAGCAAUUAGCAAUUUAAGCAACUUGUUGACCUUAGUAUUAGAACGCAAUAAAUUGACUGGACCAAUUCCAAUUACAUUCGGCCCACUACAGAAACUCCAAGGCUUAUAUCUUGCAUUCAAUAUGUUGGUAGGUUCAUUCCCAGAUGAGCUUUGCCAUCUAGGUAGGCUGAAUGAAUUGGUCUUAUUUGGCAAUAAGCUUUCAGGAUCUAUACCUUCAUGCUUAAGUAACCUCACUUCUCUGAAAUCUCUCUACUUAGGGUCCAAUAGGUUUACUUCUGUUAUUCCCUCAACCUUCUGGAGCCUAAAAUACAUCUUGUUCUUUGACUUUUCAUCAAAUUUCUUGGUGGGUCCUCUUUCUUCAGACAUAGGUAAUUUGAAGGUGCUUCUAGGAAUAAAUUUAUCAGAAAAUAACUUAUCGGGUGAUAUGCCAGCCACAAUUGGAGGACUAAAAAACCUUCAAAUUAUGGACCUAGCAUAUAAUAGAUUGGAAGGCCCAAUUCCUGAAUCAUUUGGUGACUUGACAAGUUUGGAGGUUUUGAAUUUGUCAAAUAAUAAAAUCUCCGGGUCUAUUCCAAAAUCCUUGGGGAAACUCUUUUACCUCCGAGAGUUAAAUCUCUCUUUCAAUGAACUAGAAGGUGAGAUUCCUAGUGGAGGAAUUUUUGCCAACUUCACAGCUGAGUCAUUUAUGGGAAAUGAGUUAUUGUGUGGUUUACCAAAUCUUCAAGUCCAACCAUGCAAAGUUAGCAAGCCGAGGACAGAACAUAAAUCAAGGAAAAAGAUACUUCUCAUUGUGAUUGUUUUGCCAUUGAGUAUUGCUCUAACGAUAGCAAUCACUCUAGCUCUCCAAUCUAAGCUGAUCGAAUGUGGAAAAAGAAGCACGGUGUUAUCAAAUGAUAGUAUCUUGUCAUCACAAGCAACACUAAGAAGAUUUUCAUACUUAGAACUUUUACGAGCAACAGAUAAUUUUGCUGAAAACAGCAUAAUUGGCAGAGGAGGUUUUGGUUCCGUUUAUGGAGCAAGACUUGAAGAUGGGAUGAAGAUUGCAAUAAAAGUGUUUCACCAGCAAUGUGCAAGCGCAUUGAAGAGUUUUGAGGCUGAAUGUGAAGUGUUAAAAAAUAUUCGCCAUCGAAACCUUAUCAAAGUUAUCAGCAGUUGCUCGAACGAUGACUUCAAAGCAUUAGUCCUAGAAUACAUGUCCAACGGGAGCUUGGGGGAUUGGUUGCAUUCGAGCAAUUACGUGCUGAAUAUUUUUCGAAGGUUGAACAUAAUGAUUGACUUUGCAUCAGCUUUAGAAUAUCUCCACUUCGAUCAUUCAACUCCUGUUAUUCAUUGUGACUUAAAGCCUAGUAAUGUAUUGUUGGACGAAAAUAUGGUUGCUCAUUUGAGUGAUUUUGGCAUAGCAAAGCUUUUAAGUGGAGAAGAUGAGUCUACGAUGCGAACAAAAACCCUUGCCACUAUAGGUUAUAUGGCACCAGGUUUGCUUCAAACAACUUUUUUUGUUGGUGCAUGUACCCUCCCUUUAAAAAAUAUAUAAUAAUUAAUACUUAAUAUAUUAUUAAAUACGAAAAUAUCAAUAUUUGACUACACAAAUUUAUGUCAUUAGGUCCUUAAAAUUUAAAAUUGAAGACACAAAAUGAAAUAUAUAUAUAAAUUUCAUUCUCAUAGGAAAUGAUCCUCUUAUAAUCUUAAAAUAUUUGAGCUUUGAAAGAUUUUUUAAAACAAAUGUACUUUUAUUUUUGUACAAUCAAUAUUUACUUAUUUAUUAUAUUUUUAUUCAUUAACUAUCAAUCAUGUGAGUAUAUUUACUCAGAAAUAUCAUAUCAAGGAAGAAUCUUGAUCCCACGCACACGCAAAUAUGUUAAUUUCUAUACGCUUCACUUACCUGUAGAAUCAAUUAUCUAAAAUGCAAGUUUGUGGCCACAAAAAAGGCCAAAGAAAGAAGAUAAUAACAAUUGACUUGUAUAUUAUACUCAUACAAUCCACUCGACAUAAUGAUAUCAUUUUAAUAAGGCAAUGGCUGAUGAUCUCCAUGACUCCAUUGAAAAACUAAUUCAAUUUUUUUUGCUUCAUUUAACUUUUUGGUUGUUGAAAAUAACCUUAAUUAUCAAAUAAUUGGAGAAAGAGUAAAGAACAUUUAAAAAAUUUAUGAGCAAAAAAAAAAGGAGAAGUUGAAGAGAAAGGGUGCUUGCAGAAGUGGGUGUCAAAGAAAAAUCAGUCCAUAAGAAUUAUUGCGGUUAUUUUUUGGCAAUAUAAAUUUUUUAUAGCAAGUAAAAAUUAAUUUUUUUCCGAUUUACUAAAAAAUUAACUAAAAACUUCUGCGACAACAUUUUUUAUGGGUGCAUAUAGCCUCCCUUUAAAAAAAUAAUAAUAAUUAAUGCUUAAUAUAGUAUUAAAUACGAAAAUGUCAAUAUUUGAUUACUCAAAUUUAUAUCAUUAGGUCCUUAAAAUUUAAAAUUAAAGAUACGAAAGGAAAUAUAUAUAAAUUUCAUUCUCAUGGAAAGGAUUCUCUUAUAAUUUUAUAAUAUUUGAGUUUUGAAAUUUUUUUGAAACAAAUGUAAUUUUAUUUGUGUACAAUCAAUAUUUACUCAUUUAUUAUAUUUUAAUUUAUUUAUUAUAUUUAGUCGGAAAAAUUAUAUCAAGAGAGAAUCCUAAUUUCACGCAAACACAAAUACAAGACAAAUAUGUUAAUUUCUAUACUAUUCACUUUCCUGUAGAAUCAAUUAUCUAAAAUGCAAGUUUGUGGCUACAGAAAACUCGCCAAAGAAAGAAGAUAAUAACAAUUGAGCAUUGAUAGCAAAACUAAUGCAUCAUUUUCUUCUUGACUUGAUGAGAUGGCGCCAUCACAAAAAAACAAGUACCUUAAUUGACGGGCACUGAGUGAUGUGAAUACUACCAGCCAGUUCAUCUCUUCCAGUCUUGCUUAAUCACAAUCACAAACACCUCGAGAUCGACAUUUGCAUUAUAUAUAUGUUCAGCAAUCGAAACACCUUGCAUUACCAAAUAAACCAGUAACAAACAAAGCAAUCUUUCAUGGAGAGAAACUUUAGUCUCAGUAUGAUCACUGUGUCAUUAACCCACUGCCUGCUUCUUUGCUUGGUUGUUGCAGCAGCAGCAGCAGCAGCAGCAAGCAACAAUAUUACCACAGACCAACAAGCUCUUCUUGCCCUGAAAGAUCAUAUAAUUUAUGAUCCGACCAACCUUUUAGCCCAUAAUUGGACCUCGAAUACCUCUGUUUGUACCUGGAUUGGCAUCACUUGUGAUGUCAAUAGCCAUAGAGUCACAGCCUUAGAUAUUUCUCAAUUCAAUCUACAAGGCACCAUCCCUCCUCAACUUGGAAACCUCUCUUCACUCACAACACUUAAUCUUAGUCAUAACAAGCUUUCUGGAAGCGUUCCCUCCUCCAUCUACACCAUGCAUAGGCUAAAAUUUCUUGACUUCACUGAUAACCAGCUCUCUGGUUCGGUGUCUUCCUUCGUCUUCAACAUGUCUUCAAUAUUAGACAUUCGUUUGACCAAUAACAGACUUUCUGGUGAGCUUCCGAAAAAUAUUUGCAACUAUCUUCCUCAUUUGAAAGCCCUUUUUUUGGACAAAAACAUGUUUCAUAGCAAAAUUCCUUCUGCUUUAUCAAAGUGCAAACAACUGCAACAAUUAAAUUUGCAGUUCAAUAAUUUAUCCGGUGCAAUACCAAAAGAAAUCGGCAACUUGACUAGGCUCAAAGGGAUAUAUCUCGGCGCCAACAAACUCC